AAGUAAGUACAUGCUUGAUAUUUAUAAUGUUUUAAAAUGUUAGUUUGUCCGUUUAAAAUGUAGUAACCUAUGUGUGAGGCAAGUUACUAGCUAGCUAUGCUAACGGCUACAGCCAGUUGAGCCUUUGUCCCCUUCAAAUGUGCUCAUGUGGGCUCCUGCAGCCACACAGCUGUGUAGAGAAAAGCUAAUGAUUAUCGUAACGGCAUCGAGCGACUACGGGCAGGGAGCGGUGGGUCUAGCGUCUGUCCUUUUUCUGUAAUCGCAUACACCUGCGGGGAACAGCUGAUCGUUAUCGCCCUUCCAGCGGCGACAGACAGGAAGCGGUGGAUCUAGCUCGCUGUAGUAAGUUUGUGCUUGAUACUUGUGAUAUCUAAAAAUGUUAGUUGGGUCUGUUUAAAAUGCAGUAACCCACAUGUGAGACAAGCUAAUCGCUAGCGUCGCUAACGGCUACAGUGAGUCAACCGAGCCUUUGUCCCUUUCAAAUGUGCUACUCUGAGUUGGUGCAAUCACACACCUGUGUGGGGAACAGCUAAUAGCGAUGGGCCUUCGAUCGGCGACAGGCAGGAAGCGGUGGAUCGAGCUUUUGUCCUGUUGACGUGCUGCCGCUCCUGUUUGUGUUGCGUUAGCCGUUAGCAUGCCUUUAGGCCUUUGCACUUUAGAGCUACAGCUGGUCGAUCGCUACAAAAAGAACCUGCAGAUGAACGCGGUUAUGUUUGUUACCCCGUCCUGUGUCACAGCCUAAAUCAACUUGUGAUUUGGGGUUAUGUCAUUGUUCUAUCAAAUUCUAACAUGAUUAGUUGGAAUGAUUACUGUGUUGUGUUUCAAGCUUAGUUGCUAAUUAGUCACAUCUCUACAAUACCUGCUGCUUAUCUGGUCAGUUACCUAUAGCUUGUACCAUAGCCAUUAUAUUUGUAGGACCAAUACAAUUUACAGUAAAUGUAACAGUCUUUUCUAUACUGUAGGAGGGCAAAUCCCAGUUGCCCACAUGCAAGGAGGCUGUCAAACAGAGAAAUCACUGCAGACUGUUGGUACACGGACAUCUGCUGCCCAGCUCAGGAGUAAAGUACCUUUUGUUUUGAUGAGGUGAUGGUGAGGACAGCCACAGCUUCCAUCUGGUAGAGGACUGCUUCC
rnacentral:lncRNA from 1 species